rnacentral:rRNA from 1 species
UGCAGUCGAGGGGUAACAGGAAUAGCUUGCUAUUUGCUGACGACCGGCGCACGGGUGCGGAACGCGUAUGGAACCUGCCCCUGUCAGGGGAAUAGCCCAGAGAAAUUUGGAUUAAUGCCCCAUGGUAUCGAAUCACUGCAUGGUGAUUUGAUUAAAGAUUUAUCGGACAGGGAUGGCCAUGCGUACCAUUAGCUUGUUGGUGAGGUAACGGCUCACCAAGGCAACGAUGGUUAGGGGCCCUGAGAGGGGGAUCCCCCACACUGGUACUGAGACACGGACCAGACUCCUACGGGAGGCAGCAGUGAGGAAUAUUGGACAAUGGCCGAAAGGUUGAUCCAGCCAUGCCGCGUGCAGGAUGACGGCCCUAUGGGUUGUAAACUGCUUUUACACGGGAAGAAACCUCCCCUCGUGAGGGGAGCUGACGGUACCGUGAGAAUAAGGACCGGCUAACUCCGUGCCAGCAGCCGCGGUAAUACGGAGGGUCCGAGCGUUAUCCGGAAUCAUUGGGUUUAAAGGGUCCGUAGGCGGGCCUAUAAGUCAGGGGUGAAAGGCCACGGCUCAACCGUGGGACUGCCCUUGAUACUGUAGGUCUUGAGUUAUAGUGGGGUUGCCGGAACAUGUGGUGUAGCGGUGAAAUGCAUAGAUAUCACAUAGAACACCGAUCGCGAAGGCAGGUGACCAACUAUAUACUGACGCUGAUGGACGAAAGCGUGGGUAGCGAACGGGAUUAGAUACCCCCGGUAGUCCACGCCGUAAACGAUGGAUACUAGCUGUCGGGACCUCGGUCUCGGCGGCCAAGCGAAAGUGAUAAGUAUCCCACCUGGGGAGUACGUUCGCAAGAAUGAAACUCAAAGGAAUUGACGGGGGCCCGCACAAGCGGUGGA